AACAAGUAUUAAAGGCAACGCCUGCCCAGUGAACAAUUAAACGGCCGCGGUACCCUAACCGUGCAAAGGUAGCAUAAUCAUUUGUCUAUUAACUGUAGACCUGUAUGAAAGGCAAAAUGAGGGUUUAACUGUCUCUUAUAAUAAAUCUAUUAAACUGAUCUCCCAGUAAAAAAGCUGGAAUACCACCAUAAGACCAGAAGACCCUGUGAAGCUUUAACUAAACUAUUAAACCCAAUAAUAGCUACUUUAGGUUGGGGCGACCUUGGAAAUAAAAAGAACUUCCAAACAAACACACUAACACAGGCUGACAUGCCAAUAAAUGACCCAGUAAAACUGAUAACUGAACAAAGUUACUCCAGGGAUAACAGCGCUAUCUUCUUCAAGAGCCCAUAUCAAAAAGAAGGUUUACGACCUCGAUGUUGGAUCAGGACAUCCUAAUGGUGCAACCGCUAUUAAGGGUUCGUUUGUUCAACGAUUAAUGUCCU
rnacentral:rRNA from 1 species